rnacentral:lncRNA from 1 species
CAUUUCCAAGAAACUGAAGAGGAGAAAACACUUCCUAAAUCAUUUUAUGAGGCCAGAAUUACCCUGAUGCUAAGCCAAAGACAUCACAAGGAAAGAAAGUACAGGCAGUCCUUCUUAAGAAUAUUAAUGCAAAAAUCCUCAAGAAGACACUACCAAGCUGAAAUUGAUCAAAUAGUGAAAGGAUUGUUCAUUAUUCAUGACCAAGUGGGGAAUUUUCUGGAAUUUCUGGAAUUCAAGGAGGGAUCAAUACAUGAUAAUCAAUCAUUAUAAUGAAGAAAAAAAACACAUGAUCAUCUCAGUUGGUGCAAAAAAAGCAUUUGGCACAUUUCAAGUCACUUUCACUCAACCAACUAGGGACAGAAGAAAAGUACUCAACAUAAAAAGACUUUAUGUGAAAAGCAAGCUAGCCUCAUACCAGUGGGGAAAUUCUGAAAACUUUUCCUGCAAGAUCAGGAAUAAGACAAAGAUUUCUAAUCAACACAGUCCUGGAAGUUCUAACAAGAGCAAUUAGGAAAUGUAAAGAAAAGCAUUUGAAUUGGAAAAGAAGCAGUAGAGUUAUCUGUUUUUGCAGAUGAUGUGAUUUUUAUAUGUAGAAACCCUAAAGAUCCCCUUGUCCUCUCUCCCUCUCUCUCAUGUGAAAUCAACACACAAAAGUCAAGUUGCAUUUCUAUAUAUGAACAAUGAGAAAUCGGAGAAGGAAAUCAAGAAAACAAUUCCAUACAAUGGAACACUGAAAAGAACAGAAUACUUAAGAUGCCAGUAUUGGGCUGGGGAUGUGACUCAGGGGCAGAGCACUUGUCUGGCAUGUGUGAGGCCCUGGGUUUGAUCCCCAGCACUUAAAAAUAUUUUUGCCAAUACUAUACAAAGAAUCUAGAUAGAUUCAUUGCAUUCCCUAUGAAAAUCACAGUAGAUGCAGAAAUAGGGAAAAAAAUCCAUCCUAAAACUCAUGGAAUCUCAAAUAGCCCAAACAAUUUUGAAAAAGAGGAACAAAACUCAAGAACUCACAUUUCCUGGUUUCUAUGAAUCUACAGUGAUCAAGACAAUGAGAUAAUGGUACACAGAUCAAUGGAACACAAGACAGAGCCUGGAAAUAAACAGUUUUAUUUAUGGUCAAAUGAGGUUGCCAACUCUGUUCACUGGAGAAAGGAUUCUUCACCAUGGGGAACUGGGAAAACUGGAUGUCCACAGGCAGCACAGUGGGGUGGGACCCUUACCUAACACCAGAUAAGAAUUAAUUCAAAGUGGAGCAAAGACCCAGAGGAGACCUCAAACUGUAAAACUCCUGGAAGAAAAUAUAGGGGGAAAGUUUCAUGAGACAGGAUUUGGCAGUGGUUGUGUAUAACACCAAAAGCACAGGCAACAGAACCAAAAACAGUUAAGUUGGAUGUCAUCAAAAUUUAAAAAAAAAGCCAAUAUGAGAGAACACUAAUAGCAAGAGACAAAUGGCAGCCUACGGGAUGGAGAACAUAUCUGCCAAUUACACAUCCAAGAUACAGGUAAGGGCUACCUACAACUCAACAACACAAAUCCAAACAACCCAAGUUAAACAUUGGCAUUGGACUUGAAUAGUCAAAUGGCUAUGAAAUAAGCACAUGAAAACUGUUGAACACCAGUAUCAUUAGAAUAACACCAAUCAAAACCACAGUGAAAUUACCACUCCAUACUCACUGACAAAUAAUGGGGCUGGGAGUGGCUCAGUGGUAGAGCAAGGGCAAGGCCCUGGGUCCCACCCCCAGCAGCAUGGGUGCAUGUGCAUACACACACACACACACACAAAAGAUGGAAGAAAGAAAGAAAGGACAAGAACAAGUGUUGAUGAGAGGACAUGGAUACGUGGGAACUCUAGUGCAUUAUGGUGGGAAUGUGAAAGGGUGUAGAAAAAAUUAAGCACAGGAUUACCAUAUGAUCCGGGAAUUCUCUGGAUCUGUAGAAGAUGGUGAGCAGGGACUCCAUGUUCAUAGCAAUGUUAUUCAUAGCAGCCAAAAGUGGGCACAGUCCAGGUACCCAUUAAUGGGUGCACAGAAAAACAAAAUAUGGCAUAUAUACACAAGAAAAUGUUAUUCAGCCUUUAAGAGGAAGAAAACUCUUAAAUAUGCAACAAGAUGAAUGGAUCUUGAAGACAGCAUGCCUAUAAUCCCAGCGACUCCAGAGGGUAAGACAGGAGGAUCACAGGUUAGAGGCCAGCCUCAGCAACUUGGUUGAGCACCUAAGCAAGUUAGUGAGACCUUGUCUUAAAAUAAAAAAAUAAAAAGCACCAGGGUUGGGGCUUAGUGGUUGAGCACUCCUGGGUUCAAUCAUGGUACCAACCAACCAACCAGCCAACCAAUCUAAUAGCAUCUAAGUGAAUAAAUUGGACACAAAGGAUAAUACUGUAAGAUUCUGCUUACUUGAGGUGCCCAUAACAGGCAAUUUC